UUUUUUGUUGCUGUCCUUAAAUUAUAUAGAAAAUGUUUACUACAACGGUUAGAUUGAUAUUUGUAAAAUCGGAU
rnacentral:sRNA from 1 species